CUGUAGCGAGAUACUAUUUUUCUCUCUUCUCUCGAAAAUGAAUGAGGAGCAAGUGAAGCCAAUAUUUUAUUUUAGCGGCUCUAGCUUCUUCAUGCACUAUAGCAAGACCAUCCUCUUCUUCUUUUUUUUGUAAAAGACCUUACCAACAUUUGGGCUGAACAAAAGAGCACCCCCCAACCCCAACCCACACACAAGCACCAAAUAUUGCCCUCUAAGUUCCUUAUCAGGUCCAUUCAUAAACCUUAGGUGAAAGAUGUGAGAACUAGGCGAUAUGUAACGUGUACAAUCCUCCACGAUAGUUUGGCCGUAUGACAUUGAAAAUAAGAAACGUUAAAUUGCACUUUGUCAUUUUUUCAAAAAAAAAACACGGAAUGACGAUGCUUCAACGACGUUGGAAACACGAAGGAUGUCAUUAUUUUCUUUAGAAAAAAUGAGCAUCGCCUUUUCUCUCUGAAAUACGCACAUUUGUCAUUCAACAUUUUUGGCAACAUUGUGUCGCAGAUUGUGCUGUGUGUGUACAGAAUGCCCUUGGUCCCUAAAGACUCUAGCACAGUGACCUCAUAGCUCUGGGCCUUCGGUCAGACCGAACCAAACCGAUCUCCUCAGUCAUCAUCAGAAAACAAGAUGGAUCGGUUAGUUGAAAAAUUAAAAACCGAGUAAUUUUGGUCGUGGUUAGUUCGGUUCAGUCUCGAUCACGACCGAAGUAACCGGACCAGCUUAGGAGACAAAAAAAUAGCAGAAUUUGUAUCGAAUUUUAGCAGCAUGUUUGCACAUAAAAAAUACAAAUAUCUUGGUUCUCCUUAUUCAAAUACUAACUGCAGCAGCAUCUCACAAUAACAAAAACAGCACGCAAUCAAGUCUUUAAAAAAUAAAAAAAAAACAGUCCAGACUCCCAACAAAGAAUUUCGGUUUUUUUAUUAGUUCGGUUAACCGACACCUAUACUCGAACACCGUACAAAGUUCGUUUAAUUGGAAGCAGGGACUAAAUUCAUGACCGAAAAAUUCGGUCUGAGUCAGUUCAGUUUGAUCUUCAGUCUUCGAUUAAUUACGCAACUGAUGAGGAAGGCAACACGCAGCAGAUCAUGCUGCCGUGGCACCACAUCAUCGAUCAAAAACUAAUCCAUCUCACGCAUCCGAUCCAUCGAAUUAUAUUAUUAUCGAGGUAGAAAAUUAAAUCAGGUGGCACAAAGCAUCUGCAAAUACUUUGCAGCUAAGAAUCGAAGCAUCUGAUCUCUCCCUUUUACAACGACCACCGUGCAUUGGUGCUGGUGCAACAUGCAUCCAUCCACGGCCGCACCUCCUUAUAUUCCCAUGAAGCUUCAUCUUCAAGCUCGGCAC
rnacentral:lncRNA from 1 species